GACGAACGCUGGCGGCGUGCUUAACACAUGCAAGUCGAACGGAAAGGCCCUGCUUUUGAUGGGUGCUCGAGUGGCGAACGUGUGAGUAACACGUGAGUAACCUGCCCUUUACUUUGGGAUAACUUCAGGAAACUGUUGCUAAUACCGGAUAGGAGCUCCUGCUGCAUGGUGGGGGUUGGACAGUUUCGGCGGUUGGGGAUGGACUCGCGGCUUAUCAGCUUGUUGGUGGGGUAGUUGCUUACCAAGGCUUUGACGGGUAGCCGGCCUGAGAGGGUGACCGGGCACAUUGGGACUGAGAUACGGCCCAGACGGCUACGGGAGGCAGCAGUGGGGAAUAUUGCACAAUGGGCGGAAGCCUGAUGCAGCAACGCCGCGUGCGGGAUGACGGCCUUCGGGUUGUAAACCGCUUUCGCCUGUGACGAAGCGUGAGUGACGGUAAUGGGUAAAGAAGCACCGGCUAACUACGUG
rnacentral:rRNA from 1 species